rnacentral:rRNA from 1 species
UACGGAGGGGGCUAGCGUUGUUCGGAAUUACUGGGCGUAAAGCGUGCGCAGGCGGCUUGCCAAGUCAGAUGUGAAAGCCCCGGGCUUAACCUGGGAAUGGCGUUUGAAACUGGCAGGCUAGAGUUUGGCAGAGGGGGGUGGAAUUCCACGUGUAGCAGUGAAAUGCGUAGAGAUGUGGAGGAACACCGAUGGCGAAGGCAGCCCCCUGGGCCAAAACUGACGCUCAGGCACGAAAGCGUGGGGAGCAAACAGG